AUUGAACGCUGGCGGCAGGCCUAACGCAUGCAAGUCGAACGGUAGCACAGAGAGCUUGCUCUCGGGUGACGAGUGGCGGACGGGUGAGUAAUGUCUGGGAAACUGCCCGAUGGAGGGGGAUAACUACUGGAAACGGUAACUAAUACCGCAUAACGUCUUCGGACCAAAGUGGGGGACCUUCGGGCCUCACACCAUCGGAUGUGCCCAGAUGGGAUUAGCUAGUAGGUGGGGUAAUGGCUCACCUAGGCGACGAUCCCUAGCUGGUCUGAGAGGAUGACCAGCCACACUGGAACUGAGACACGGUCCAGACUCCUACGGGAGGCAGCAGUGGGGAAUAUUGAACAAUGGGCGAAAGCCUGAUGCAGCCAUGCCGCGUGUAUGAAGAAGGCCUUCGGGUUGUAAAGUACUUUCAGCGGGGAGGAAGGCGUUAAGGUUAAUAACCUUGGCGAUUGACGUUACCCGCAGAAGAAGCACCGGCUAACUCCGUGCCAGCAGCCGCAGUAACAC
rnacentral:rRNA from 1 species